UGGGGAAUAUUGGACAAUGGGGGCAACCCUGAUCCAGCCAUGCCGCGUGAGUGAUGAAGGCCUUCGGGUUGUAAAGCUCUUUUGGCGGGGACGAUGAUGACGGUACCCGCAGAAUAAGCCCCGGCUAACUUCGUGCCAGCAGCCGCGGUAAGACGAAGGGGGCAAGCGUUGUUCGGAAUUACUGGGCGUAAGGGGCGCGUAGGCGGUUUGCUUAGUCAGGCGUGAAAGCCCUGGGCUUAACCUGGGAUGUGCGCUUGAUACUGGCAGGCUUGAGUGUGGGAGAGNUUGGUGGAAUUCCCAGUGUAGAGGUGAAAUUCGUAGAUAUUGGGAAGAACACCGGUGGCGAAGGCGGCCAACUGGACCACAACUGACGCUGAGGCGCGAAAGCGUGGGGAGCAAACA
rnacentral:rRNA from 1 species